AGGCGAGGGCCUCCGCUGCAAAUGCUGUCGGGAUCAUCAAAAUUAAUCUUCACGAAGGGAUCUCUUGGGGGGCUCCAACCUUCUUCCCAUGCAUUUCUGUCAGGGUCCCUCUUAUGCCCAGACUGGUCCAAACAUCAAUAGCAAA